rnacentral:piRNA from 1 species
UCUGGAUCAGGAACUUCCAAU